AAAUAAAUAAUAACUAAAUUAAUUGUAUAAGAAAUAGAAAUAUUACAUUGAACAUCUAUCGUAAUAUUCUAAUUUGAUAUAAAAGCAAAACAAUUAGAAUAAGUAAAUAUACAAUAUAAGAAAAAUAAAUAAUAAGUAAAUAUACAAUAUUAGAAUAGGUAAAUAUUCAGAUAAUAAUAUAUAAAUAAUUUAUAUUUAAGAACACUUUAAUUUGACUAUAGUCAUACUUUAGAUGCAAAAUAUAGUAAAAAAAGUUCUAUGAUUUCAAAACUUGUCCAUUACUUUGGCAUGAAAAUCUUGUCAAUUAUUUGAUAUAUAAGGGAUUUGAUAUUUUUUUAUCACACUAUAAUAAUUUGGUUUUAAUUACAUUAUAAAUAUAAUUAUCCAUAUAAUUUUAAACUUGGAUCUGAUUACUUUUGAGUUAUUAAUUACACAAAAUCAUGCAUUGUUUUAAGCAUAUCCUCAUAUUUGGAUAUAUAUAAUUAACUUUUUUGUUGAUUGUAUUUCCAAAAUUUCACAUUUAAAUACUUCUUUGAUAAAACUUUUUUUGUCAUCUUACUUAAAAAUCUACAAAUUUCUUCCAAAGAAAAAAAAAUGCAUUGUGAUGGAAGCUCUAGGAACCAAUACUAAACAUGGUCGUUGCUGCGUUUGCAUCGGAAAAAAAUAUAUAUAUACCAGAAAAUGUGAAUUUGCUGCAUAUUUUCCAAAUGAAGUGCAAGGCGAUUAUGAAGCUCCUACUAAAUGGUUUGGUCACCAAAUAUUAUUAGAAUUAUGAAACUUGCUCCUCAUGAACAAAAGUUUGUUAGCAUAAUCGAUACUCAAAGCAGGUGCUGCAUGGAGCGAUGAUAAUAUCAGAGGUGGAUAUGGAGUGAUACAAAAGCUGAUGUGGGAAAUCAAAUUACAUGAAAUCUACCUCUUUGAGAUAAGGAAGAAGAUUUCAGAAGAAGAAAAACAAUUAGUACUACUUUUAAAUCAGUAUAUAUAAUGAAAUUUAUCUUUCUUCAUUUAUCCAAUAAUAAUUAUUCAAUGGUUAAUCAUAUCAAAUGUUGAAAUUUAAAACAUACCAUGAGCACAAUGUAAUUGUUGCGAGAUAAUCACUUAAUUGUGCAUGCGUUAUAGUGAUCAUAAAAGAAGAGACACUUUGAAACCUAAAAAUGAUAUCAAAUGUCAUAAAGCAAUUUAUAAUGGCACUUUCAAAUUCUAAUUAUAGCAAUUUUCUCAUUUGUGUAUUGAAAAUUUUACACUUUUUUUCAUUGAACAACCAAUUCAGUAGUUAAUAAUUUCUACUAUUAUACAUUUUGUAAUGAGGCUCCAUGGAUGUCCACAUAAGCGAAAGAAUUUCUCCCGAAAAUACCACGUGGAAUUAUUACCAAAAAUAUAAAGUAAAUAAUAAGUAAAUAUACAAUAUAAGGAAAAAUUAGUAAUAAGUAAAUAUACAUACAAAAAAAGUAAAUAUAUAAUAUAAGAAAUACAGAAACUAAAUUAAACAUUUAUUUGAAAAAUGUAUAAUAAAAUAAAUAAUAAGUAAAUAUACAACAUAAAAAACAAACAAUAUUACAU